UACGGAGGGGGCGAGCGUUGUUCGGAAUCAUUGGGCGUAAAGGGCGCGUAGGUGGUUCUGUAUGUCUACCGUGAAAGCGUACGGCUCAACCGUAUUUUGUCGGUAGAAACUGCAGGACUUGAGGCUGGGAGGGGCUGGCGGAAUUCCCUGUGUAGCGGUGAAAUGCGUAGAGAUGGGGGAGAACACUCGUGGCGAAGGCGGCCAGCUAGACCAGUUCUGACACUGAGGCGCGACAGCGUGGGGAGCAAACAGG
rnacentral:rRNA from 1 species